rnacentral:rRNA from 1 species
UACGAAGGGGGGCUAGCGUUGCUCGGAAUCACUGGGCGUAAAGCGCACGUAGGCGGAUCUUUAAGUCAGGGGUGAAAUCCUGGAGCUCAACUCCAGAACUGCCUUUGAUACUGAAGAUCUUGAGUUCGGGAGAGGUGAGUGGAACUGCGAGUGUAGAGGUGAAAUUCGUAGAUAUUCGCAAGAACACCAGUGGCGAAGGCGGCUCACUGGCCCGAUACUGACGCUGAGGCACGAAAGCGUGGGGAGCAAACAGG